GAUGAAGAACGCAGCGAAAUGCGAUAAGUAAUGUGAAUUGCAGAAUUCAGUGAAUCAUCGAAUCUUUGAACGCACAUUGCGCCCGCUAGUAUUCUGGCGGGCAUGCCUGUCCGAGCGUCAUUUCAACCCUCAAGCCCCCGGGCUUGGUGUUGGGGAUCGGCGAGCCUCCGCGCCCGCCGUCCCCUAAAUCUAGUGGCGGUCUCGCUGUAGCUUCCUCUGCGUAGUAGCACACCUCGCACUGGGACCGCGGUGCGCUCCGGCCGUUAAAACCCCCACUAUACUGAAGGUUGACCUCGGAUCAGGUAGGAAUACCCGCUGAACUUAAGCAUAUCAAUAAGCGGAGGA
rnacentral:misc_RNA from 1 species